CUACGUGCCAGCAGCCGCGGUAAUACGGAAGGUCCGGGCGUUAUCCGGAUUUAUUGGGUUUAAAGGGAGCGUAGGCCGGAGAUUAAGUGUGUUGUGAAAUGUAGACGCUCAACGUCUGACUUGCAGCGCAUACUGGUUUCCUUGAGUACGCACAACGUUGGCGGAAUUCGUCGUGUAGCGGUGAAAUGCUUAGAUAUGACGAAGAACUCCGAUUGCGAAGGCAGCUGACGGGAGCGCAACUGACGCUGAAGCUCGAAGGUGCGGGUAUCGAACAGGAUUAGAUACCCUGGUAGUCCGCACAGUAAACGAUGGAUGCCCGCUGUUGGUACUUGGUAUCAGCGGCUAAGCGAAAGCAUUAAGCAUCCCACCUGGGGAGUACGCCGGCAACGGUGAAACUCAAAGGAAUUGACGGGGGCCCGCACAAGCGGAGGAACAUGUGGUUUAAUUCGAUGAUACGCGAGGAACCUUACCCGGGCUUGAAUUGCAGAGGAAGGAUUUAGAGAUA
rnacentral:rRNA from 1 species